rnacentral:rRNA from 1 species
CAANNCCUUGCGCUUUUGGAGCGGCCGAUGUCUGAUUAGCUAGUUGGUGAGGUAAAGGCUUNCCAAGGCUUCGAUCAGUAGUUGGUCUGAGAGGACGACCAGCCACACUGGGACUGAGACACGGCCCAGACUCNUACGGGAGGCAGCAGUGGGGAAUUUUGGACAAUGGGGGAAACCCUGAUCCAGCCAUGCCGCGUGAGUGAAGAAGGCCUUCGGGUUGUAAAGCUCUUUCAGCCGGAACGAAAAGGUUACGGUUAAUACCCGUGACUAAUGACGGUACCGGAAGAAGAAGCACCGGCUAACUACGUNCCAGCAGCCGCGGUAAUACGUAGGGUGCGAGCGUUAAUCGGAAUUACUGGGCGUAAAGCGUGCGCAGGCGGUUUUGUAAGUUAGAUGUGAAAUCCCCGGGCUCAACCUGGGAACU